GAUCAUGGCUCAGGAUGAACGCUAGCUACAGGCUUAACACAUGCAAGUCGAGGGGCAGCGGGAAGUCAGCUUGCUGACUUUGCCGGCGACCGGCGCACGGGUGAGUAACACGUAUCCAACCUUCCCGUUACUCUGGAAUAGUCCUUUCGAAAGAAAGAUUAAUACCGGAUAGUAUCGAGAGAUUGCAUGACUAACCCGAUUAAAGAUUCAUCGGUAACGGAGUGGGGAUGCGUUCCAUUAGGCAGG
rnacentral:rRNA from 1 species